CUGAAUUGUAAACAACAUCAUUGUUGAUAAGUUUGUGUGUGUGUUUGUGUGUGUGUGUGUUCUCACAAGGUUAAUUACUCUUCAUAUUUCUAUUAGAGCAGUGAGUAACAUUCCUAAUAUGCAUAUCUCCUAUAUUUUUUAAUAAUAAUAGUGGCUAACAUUUAUUUAUCCCCAUAUCCAUCAUUUCACUUAACACCGUCAGUAACCCGAGAGGGGAGGUGCCCUUGUUUCAUUUUACAGAUGGAGAAAACUGGCACGCUAUGAGAUUAAACACCUACCCAAGAUCACUUAGACUGCGAGUACCAGCAGUGAGUUUCUACUCCAGCUCUCUCUCCAAAACUUAAGAUUUAGAUCUCUUUCAUAAGUUGCAGAGUGUGAUUUAUUAUGGAUUAUGAAAAGUGUCCAUUACAGGCUCUUCCUGGGCCUGGAAGGGCUACCACCAUUCUUCAUUGGCUGAUGCUCCCAUGUGGCUCAGGGCUCCAGUUGCCUGCUCCAGGGAGCCUUCAAUGACUAUCCUUUAAUGCUCCCACCCACUCCUCAUGUGCAAAGGGUUUAAGCUUAUGAAACACCAAAGCCAAGAAUAAAGUUCUUUGACUGGAAUUUCUCCUUUCCUGUAACACCACCUACAAGAAACUUUUAAUUUGUGUGGGUUAAAGAAGCAUCUUUGAUGAAGUGGAAAAGAGACAGUAUAAUAAAGUUACAAAACACAGUGCAACUGCCACAGCUCAGAGAAAAACACCAGAUUGGGAAUCAGGAGACUGGCCCUGGGAGUAUGGAGGCCUUUGGAACUCGCUAGCAGGAGGAAUUUGGAAAGAUUUGGAGAUGCUGGCUGGAGAAGCAUCCCUGAAUACUGUAAGCUGAAUUUGGUGGGACAUUCUGGUUAGUGCUCAGAAGACCAGCAUGCUGACAGAAAUACAGCUGGUAAAGACCAGGAUCAGGAGGUUUCAGUUGGGAACAAGGAGUGCAUUGGCAGUUGGACUCUAGGCCAUGUGUGUUAUGCUUUGGCAGAAAAUGUGCCUACAUUUUGCUCGUGUCGUGAGACUUUGCCAGAGACUGAGAUUAAGCAUGGCUGACUAAUUAAUCUGGUGGAGGAAAUGUCAAGGCAGCCAAACACUCAGGCUGUAACUUGGGUACUAUUGGGGAUUUUAGCCAGCUCUAACUUGAGAAUCAAGAGCUAAAAGCACAGCUGAAUGAUUUUAAAAGUUUUGAGUUGGGCCAGAAAGGAAGCUCCUAUAAAGAUGGAGCCUGCAAAGAUGAAGUAGAUAAAAGCUUGAUUGCUAAAAAGAUUAGCAUUAAAAGAACCCAUGAAGGGGAAGUGAGAGGGGUAGGGGAAAGGAAAGAAGGGAAUGGAAUAAAUAUUUGAAAAGGAAAAAAUGGAAACAAAGUCUUUGUAAAUAGGGAGGGGUAGAGGGGGUUGAAGGGAGGGCAGAGGAAUGGGGAAAAAAAUGAGAACCAAGAUACAUCAUGUAAAGGUACAAAUAAUCCCAAUAAUGAAUGUCAGCAUAUUGUAUACCUAAAAUGUACCAAUAAAAUGAAUGAAUAAUAAAAAAGAAAGAACCCAUGAACUUGGGAUCUGGACAAUACAACGAUGCCUUGAAGGCAUGGGAAGAAUCUCAAAAAAAUCCACCCUUUGCAGGCUCAAAACUGCAAAGGUUAAAGAUAGUGCUUUGAAAAGAAAGCCCCAAAGCACUCUGUCGGAGAAGGACCACCUAGGCAAUUGAUUCCCCAUGAUUCAGUUUACUGCGCACAGCCAGCCAGCCAGGAACUUGGGAGGCCUCUGCAACCACCAGCAAGAUGCAAAAGGGCUCAUCUAUGACUCCAGAUGGCAGCAGACCUUGGCAUCAUCCACAUUCAGAAUGCAAGAGUUGUGGUGACAGGGAGGCUUCCACCCAGAUAUCAGAAGAAGGCCAGGGAGUCCAGGCAAUAAGCCCCUGAGAGGUCAGUGUG
ensembl:lncRNA